rnacentral:misc_RNA from 1 species
GUCUAAUUCUGCCCUGCCCCUAACAUAGAAAGUAGGAUAGUCUCUAUUCCAAAUAAGGUUGCCAGAAAAAACUUAAUAUGCACAUAGACAACACAUCAAGUUUUAAUGAGGCUGACACCACCAAAUCUAUCAUUCAUGGAAAAUAUAUUCCAAGCAAUCUGCUGUAAACAUUAUACAAGUUCUGUGAAUAUUAUAUAAUUAUACAUACCCACACAGCAUCAGAUAUAUAUGCUACAAACAAGGUAAGAAAAACACACUGAAAAGGUAAACAUAUAAAGAAAGCUGCGGAAUUCCCUCAGGAAAUUAGGACUUUGGGGGGGAAAUUUUUGAAUACUCUUGAGUGCUGAAGUGCUUUCUCACUCAUAAAAAUGUGGGUUUUUUGUGUAAUAAGAAAAGCAGACCCCACAUAAUUAUUAUGGAGGAUGGAUGUACAGCUGGAGUAUUGGAUAAUUUCCCAACUUUAGAUAUCUGAUCAACGGUUUUCUCAUCUUCAAGUACACUGACUACUUCAGACAUUGUAGGCCUAAGAUCUGCAGUUGCAUUGAUGCAUAAAAUCGCCAAGUUCAGAAUAUUCAAGGCCUUCUUCCGAUCAUAAUUGAUUAAUCUCCUAUCAACCAAGCCAAACAUCUUUCCCCUUGCAUGUGCAAUACGAGCAUCAUCUGUAAGAAUAGCAGCUUCCUGAUUUGGUUUAUAUUCUAUACCAGGUCUCCCACUGAAUAUUUCAAGUGCCACAACCCCAAAACUGUAAACAUCAGCUUUAUCGGUGAUGGGUUGCCCCAGUGCAUACUCAGGUGCAACAUAUACUCUUGCCCCUCCUGCUUUGAUAGUCAAAAAUGGGUCUUCCUCAUUAUAAACCCUUGCCCAUCCAAAGUCGGUUAACUUGGCAAUGUAAUUUUUAUCAAGCAAAAUGUUACUGGUUUUUAUAUUCCUGUGUAGAAUUUUGAGUCCAUCUUCUUCCACUUCAUGCAGAUACUUCAAAGCUUUUGCUAAUCCCAGGCAGAUAUUAAAUCUAACUUUCCAAUCAAGUUCUAUUUUGGAAUUUGGAUCUGCCAACCCAAACACUCAACUCAACCUCAUUGCCAAUCAUUUUACAAUAUUAACUAUAAACAAAAUUUUGCCACUAGAAGGGUUAAAUUGAAAAUAGAUUUCCAAGUUAGAUUACCAAAUAAAGCUUGGUGAACGGAGCCUUUCUCCAUGUAUUCGUAUAUUAGUAGAUGAAGGUCUUUUCUUGAAUAACCACCAAAAAGCUGAAUUAUGUUCUCAUGUUUCAAUCUUUUCAUCUGGCUGAAAAAAAUCUCCCCUUGUAAUUCAUCUUUAAGCUUGUCUUGCAUUGAUUCAGGGGAAAUCUUCUUCACUGCAAAUUUAAUCUGAUGAUUCUGAUCUGACAGUUCAGCCUUAUACACUAUCCCAAAACGUCCUCUGCCUAUCAUCAUUUCAGGGCUGAAAUUUUGAGUAGCAUCUAUGAUUUGUUUGAGGGUGAACCUUCUGUCUUCAACAUCUAUAUGUAUUUCUUUCAACUCUCUGUUACCUAGCCAGCCCAUUUUCCACAUCAAAGCCAAGAGAAGAAUUGGAGCAAGUACAGAACCUACUGUGAUCCCUACUAUCUGUGGAGUAGAUAGUUUAUUGCCUCCAGGAAUUGUGAAGUUUGGGGUCACAGAAAUGCCUGACACAAGUGGUCCAUUGAGAAGUGGUGAGGUGUACAUAGAUCCCUUUCCAGCCCAGUGAAAAUGGAUCUCCAGCAAAUUGUCAUCUACAUGUGCCACGAAUUCUUCUAUUAAUGCUUUGUUUGGAUCCUUAGCUUUAUCCUUUAUGCUGAAAUCUUUUAGUUUUCUCUCACCCUGAAUAUACACAUCAAAAAUACGUUUUCCAGAGCUGCUAUAAUCUUCAUCCAUUGCAUAAACAAUUUCAGCAAAGUGAAGUUUUACAUUGUAAUCUCCCUUAUGUAAACAGAACCCGUAAUACGUGAGAGACACAGGGCAAAGGCGAGCUGUUUCAUGCAAAGACUCCCCUGAAACUCCACACGUCUUGUUCUUUAUGUAAUCACUUGAAUUAGCAGUUGAUGAUAAGAAUUCUCCAGAACAAGCAUAAGCCCAUCUUUUGCCUCUAACGUUUUCCGGACCUUCGUAGAACUUGGCUACUGAUGUAUCGCUAUCAUAAUGUUUCCCGUCAGAACUUAAAUUUGCACCUCCACAAUUUAUGAACAAGGAAUCGUACUUUGAUUCCCCCCGACAAAAGUUGGUUUUCGCUUCAAGAGUAUAAUUCCUAGAAAACAAGAAAAUUUGUCAGAGAAAACUCGGAUAUGUUGUUCUGAUUGCAGGGGAAAAAAAAGGGCCAUCAAUGUACCUGCUCGGUUUGCUAGUUGAGCAGCAACAUAAUUUGCAAAAAAAGUCGCAGCAAAUAAGAAGAAACUCUCUCAAAUUGAAAUAGACCUAAUUAAGGAAACAAGAGAAUGAAAAAGAAAUAGAAAGAGUUUGUUACAUAUUUGGCUCUGGUCCAUGGGACUUUGUGUUUUCUGAAUCCGUGCUCGGUGGAAUUGAGAAAUCGUUGUAAGAAAGAUCCCAGUUACCAUCAGGGAAGGGACUGGGAGGGAUUGAUCCUUGAAGCAUAUUUUCAGUCAAAAUCAUCUUUGUCACAUUCUUCAUAGUUUUUGGGAUUCCACCAGUCAACUGAUUAAAGCUCAAAUCCAGGUGAGUUAACCGUGGCCAAACGCCAGGAUUGUCAGGAAUAGAGCCAUUAAGUGAGCAGCACCUCAGAAUCAUUUCAUAUAUUGACGGCAUAUUUAUAUUUUUUGGAAAAGAGAAACCAGUGCUGCUUUUUAGGUCACUAACCCACAAAGAUUCGAGAUUUUUCAUUGUAAAAAUUUCACCAGGCACGCGCCCUUCAAAAUCAUUUCUCAUGAGAUACAGAUCAGUGAGAUU